UACGUAGGGUGCGAGCGUUAAUCGGAAUUACUGGGCGUAAAGGGCGCGUAGGCGGAAAAGAUAGUUAGAUGUGAAAGCCCGAAGCUCAACUUCGGAAUAGCAUCUAAAACUUCUUAUCUAGAGGUUUGGCGGAGAAAAUGGAAUUCCACGUGUAGCGGUGAAAUGCGUAGAUAUGUGGAAGAACACCGGUGGCGAAAGCGAUUUUCUAGCUUAUACCUGACGCUGAGGCGCGAAAGCAAGGGGAGCAAACAGGAUUAGAUACCCUGGUAGUCCUUGCCGUAAACGAUGUAUACUUGAUGUGAAUGGUCUCAACCCCAUUCGUGUCGAAGCUAACGCGAUAAGUAUACCGCCUGAGGAGUACACUCGCAAGGGUGAAACUCAAAAGAAUUGACGGGGGCCCGCACAAGCAGUGGAGCAUGUGUUUAAUUCGAUGCAACGCGAAGAACCUUACCCAGACUUGACAUGCAGAGGACAGUGGCAGAAAUGUCAUCUCCCGAAAGGGUCUCUGCACAGGUGCUGCAUGGCUGUCGUCAGCUCGUGCCGUGAGGUGUUGGGUUAAGUCCCGCAACGAGCGCAACCCUUAUCAUUAGUUGCCAACAUUUCGGAUGGGAACUCUAAUGAGACUGCCUGGGUUAACCAGGAGGAAGGUGAGGAUGACGUUAAGUCAGCAUGGCCCUUAUGUCUGGGGCAACACACGUGCUACAAUGGCCGGUACAGAAGGCAGCAAAGCCGUAAGGUGGAGCAAACCCCUAAAGCCGGUCUCAGUUCGGAUUGUAGUCUGCAACUCGACUACAUGAAGUUGGAAUUGCUAGUAAUGGCGUGUCAGCUAUAACGCCGUGAAUACGUUCCCGGGCCU
rnacentral:rRNA from 1 species